UUUGUCCUUCUGAGUCUUCUCCUUCCUCUUUACUCAAUAGGGUUGUGGAUAUCCUCCAGUGAGGAAAUCUGCGUCUAGAAACCACAUCCACCUAUUCAUAUUCUCAUAAGUACUGUGGCAUUUAUGUCUUCAGGAAUGCCUAUUACGUUGGGUUAAGUUUUAAAAAUAUGGGAAGAGCUGGAAUGUCAGACAUAGAGAUCCUUGUCAUUGAAGGAAGCCUAAGAAUCCUAAGAAAAAAAAUCCAAACAUUUGUGCUUGGAAGGAAGUCCCUAUGAGAGAUGAUGGCUUCUAAGAGCAGUCCUGCCCGAGUGACGUGAGGAGUUUGGGGAGUGUGGAUUGUCAAGAGUUGAAUUUUUGACCAUACACGUGGGAAGAUUACCUUUCUCUGAUGUCUUGGGAUUGAACUGAGCUAUGUGGCUAGUUACAGGCCAAUAGGCUGUUAGCAGAUGUGACAUCUAACACAACUAGGCUGCAGUUUGAAAUAAAUACCAGUGCACAGCCUCCAGAAUUCCUCCCCUGCUAAGGUGACUGAGAAGACCUCAGCUGAGAUGGUGGGAAAAAAAAAUAUUCAAGCAGCUUGGAUAACGAAGUUCCUAAAUGGAAGAACAUUGUCCCAGAGAGUCACUUGAACCCAGAAUAGAUUUACGUGAUCAGACAAUAAACCUCUAUGACACCCUGAGUUUAUUUUGUUUUUUGAUUUUGUUACUGCAGCAUAACUCAACAUACCCUGACUGGUAUAGUCAUGGAGAUUAUCAUCAGGAUCUCCUAUGCUCCUGCAUAUGACACAGCCAGAGUUCUGCAGACAUUUAACUUUGGGCAUCUAAAUAUCAUAAAUGC
rnacentral:lncRNA from 10 species